CUGUGCAAAGGUAGCAUAAUCAUUAGUUUUUUAAUUGAAAGCUGGAAUGAAUGGUUUAAUAAGAAAAAUUCUGUCUCAUUUUUAAGUUUAAAAUUUUAUUUUUAAGUUAAAAAGCUUAAAUUUAUUAAAAAGACGAGAAGACCCUUUAGAGUUUUAUAAGAAAAAAUUGAUUAUUAUUAUGAUUUAAAUUUAAAAUUGGUUUUUAUUAUUUUAUUGGGGUGAUAUAAAAAUUUAAGUAACUUUUUAUUUAUUUAAUCAUUAAUUUAUGUGUUAAUGAUCUUGAUUUUUUGGAUUAUAAGAAUAAUUACCUUAGGGAUAACAGCGUAAUUUUUUUUGAGAGUUCUUAUCGAAAAAGAAGUUUGCGACCUCGAUGUUGGAUUAAAAUUUAAUUUUGGCGUAGAAGUUAAAAAUUUAGGUCUGUUCGACCUUUAAAAUU
rnacentral:rRNA from 1 species